UCUCAGCGACGUCUUUCCAGUAGUCCUCCUGACCCUCCACUGGAGAGGAAGAGGAGAGUGACUGAGAGA